rnacentral:sRNA from 18 species
GUCGAGAGCUCUCCCCGCUUGCCCAGUCUUAUCAGUUCGAGCGCCAACUCAACCAACUGUUCGGGCGGUUCAGGGAGAAUCCGGCGUGGGGACCCAAGCUACUUCUCGGUCGCAAGACCUGGAUCCACACGGUCGCCCACGCCGGGCUCUCGGCACCCA